UUUUCACAUUCCCCGCCCCUUCCGUGUGCACGCUCCCCACGAGGGGCUGGUUCCUGAAAGGAUGUACAGAGGAUCCCCAACCGCCUGCGAAACCCAAGCCGCCGCGUAGGAGCGUGCGUUCGGGCCCUCUUCUCCCACCUGUUCGGCCAGCCUCCACGAUCCAGCUGCCAACCAUCUAGCCUACCCUGAUCUCUGAGCAGGGGUCGUCGUCAUUUUACUCCAGAGGAGACUGAAGCCAAAAGGUGGUGAGAGGAGAGUACAGCAGCAUUUACUGAGUCCUAUAGUAGCCCAAGCGCUUUUCAUUCGUUAUAUUAAUCUUCAUUCUAAUUGUGCGAAUUAAAUAUUAUUAAUGGGAAAACUAAAAUGAAAAAGAUUACAUAGUAAGGCGUAGUGCUGGGAUUUGAACACGGAUCUCUUGGUUUAGGAUCAAGGCACUUUCUAUUCCACUGUUCUUUCUCUAAAUUAUUUGCUCCUGGCCCUAUUUAAAGAGUUAACAGUGUAUUUAGGAAGAGAAAACUAUCAUUUAUUGAACUCUUUAGACAUACCAGCCUCCUUACAAACCUUAC
rnacentral:lncRNA from 1 species